GAUGAAGAACGUAGCGAAAUGCGAUACUUGGUGUGAAUUGCAGAAUCCCGUGAACCAUCGAGUCUUUGAACGCAAGUUGCGCCUCAAGCCAUUAGGUUGAGGGCACGUCUGCCUGGGCGUCACAUAUCGUUGCCUGAUGCCAGUUUCCUCGUGAUGGGUGACUGUGCAGGGCGAAUGAUGGCUUCCCGUGAGCAUUGUUGCCUCAUGGUUGGUUGAAAAUUGAGUCCUUGGUAGGGAGCGCCGUGAUAGAUGGUGGUUGAGUGACGAACGAGACCCAAUCAUGUGAGACCCCUACCGAAUUUGGCCUUCAUGACCCACAUGCGUCUUUGGAACGCUCAUGACGAGACCUCAGGUCAGUCGGGGCUACCCGCUGAGUUUAAGCAUAUCAAUAAGCGGAGGA
rnacentral:misc_RNA from 1 species